AAACCAACUGGGAUUACCUUAGUAACGGCGAGUGAAGCGGUAAAGGCUCAAAUUUGAAAUCUGGUACUUUCAGUGCCCGAGUUGUAAUUUGUAGAAUUUGUCUUUGAUUAGGUCCUUGUCUAUGUUCCUUGGAACAGGACGUCAUAGAGGGUGAGAAUCCCGUUUGGCGAGGAUACCUUUUCUCUGUAAGACUUUUUCGAAGAGUCGAGUUGUUUGGGAAUGCAGCUCAAAGUGGGUGUAAAUUCCAUCUAAAGCUAAAUAUUGGCGAGAGACCGAUAGCGAACAAGUACAGUGAUGGAAAGAUGAAAGGAACUUUGAAAAGAGAGUGAAAAAGUACGUGAAAUUGUUGAAAGGGAAGGGCAUUUGAUCAGACAUGGUGUUUUUGCAUGCACUCGCCUCUCGUGGGCUUGGGCCUCUCAAAAUUUCACUGGGCCAACAUCAAUUCUGGCAGCAGGAUAAAUCAUUAAGAAUGUAGCUACUUCGGUAGUGUUAUAGCUUUUUGGAAUACUGUUAGCCGGGUA
rnacentral:rRNA from 1 species